GGGGAAUAUUGGACAAUGGGCGCAAGCCUGAUCCAGCAAUGCCGCGUGUGUGAAGAAGGCCUUAGGGUUGUAAAGCACUUUCAGCGAGGAGGAAGGCAUCAUACUUAAUACGUGUGGUGAUUGACGUUACUCGCAGAAGAAGCACCGGCUAACUCCGUGCCAGCAGCCGCGGUAAUACGGAGGGUGCAAGCGUUAAUCGGAAUUACUGGGCGUAAAGCGCACGCAGGCGGUUUGUUAAGUCAGAUGUGAAAUCCCCGCGCUUAACGUGGGAACUGCAUUUGAAACUGGCAAGCUAGAGUCUUGUAGAGGGGGGUAGAAUUCCAGGUGUAGCGGUGAAAUGCGUAGAGAUCUGGAGGAAUACCGGUGGCGAAGGCGGCCCCCUGGACAAAUACUGACGCUGAGGUGCGAAAGCGUGGGGAGCAAACA
rnacentral:rRNA from 1 species